UUAUGAUGGUCGGAUGUGACAAACUCGCGUGCAGAAGACUCCUACCAGAAAAUGCAGUCUAGAUUUGGCGCCCAGUGAAACCAAGUGAAACAGUGUGUGGGUAUGAAGGAUUGUGCAGAACUUGCCACCACGAAAAACUCAGAGAAGCUCAAUUCCACUGAAAAGAGGCCGGCAGCUUCUUAAAACAUUGGAAGACUACGCUAGACCAUCAGAUCAAAUUGCUGAACAAACAGUGUACCAAAAUGGAUAAAAGACGCAGAUUGACCAGCCCACGUUUUCAUCCACCAUUGUACACAGUAUGGCACGCUU